rnacentral:tRNA from 1 species
GCGCCCGUAGCUCAGGGGAUAGAGCGCCGGCCUCCGGAGCCGGAAGCGUAGGUUCGAUUCCUACCGGGCGCACCA